rnacentral:sRNA from 2 species
AAUCAAAUAACGCCGAAUCCUGAUUCGUCAGGUACGGGGGAUAAGCAACACAGGGGUGAAUGUGCAUUUCGCACUAGGGCGACUCCCGCCCGAAUCCGUCAACUAACCUCGGAGGCGAUAGGGGGGAACGC